AAGUCGUAACAAGGUUUCCGUAGGUGAACCUGCGGAAGGAUCAUUAGUGAUUAUGGAAGGUCACCUUCUGUGCUGGCUGCGGCAAAGUAAGUGCACGAUGGUGGCUUUCAUCCAGCACCCUGUGAACCUCUGGCCUCUUGCUAGCUUCGGCUGGCUUGAGGAUUUACACAAACUCGCAUGUAUUGAGGACCCUUCAUGUGCGCAAGCACUAAUAUAUAUAUACAACUUUCAACAACGGAUCUCUUGGCUCUCGCAUCGAUGAAGAACGCAGCGAAAUGCGAUAAGUAAUGUGAAUUGCAGAAUUCAGUGAAUCAUCGAAUCUUUGAACGCACCUUGCACCCUUUGGCAUUCCGAAGGGUAUGCUCGUUUGAGUGUCAUUGUACUCUCACACUCCCAAUUGCUUUGGAUUGGGAGCGGUGGACUUGGGUGUUGCUGCUUGACUGAGGCUCACCUGAAAUAUGUUAGUGCACCUCUUGAUUGGACAUAGUACGGCGUGAUAAGUGUCUUCGCCGGCUCCUCGUAAAGAGGGUGGCCGAUCGGGAGCUCUGUUGCUUCAAACUGUCUUCGGACAAUCU
rnacentral:rRNA from 1 species